rnacentral:rRNA from 1 species
GUCCACGCUGUAAACGUUGGGCACUAGGUGUGGCGACCCGAUCAACGGUUGCCGUGCCGAAGCUAACGCAUUAAGUGCCUCGCCUGGGGAGUACGGCCGCAAGGCUAAAACUCAAAGGAAUUGACGGGUCCCCCGCACAAGCGGCGGAGCAUGCGGCUUAAUUCGAUGCGACCCGAAGAACCUUACCUGGGUUUGACAUCAUGGGAAAAGCCGUAGAGAUACGGUGUCCGAAAGGGCCCAUGACAGGUGGUGCAUGGCUGUCGU